AUUGAACGCUGGCGGUAGGCCUAACACAUGCAAGUCGAACGCGAAAGUCCUUCGGGAUGAGUAGAGUGGCGGACGGGUGAGUAACGCGUAGGAAUCUAUCCUGUAGUGGGGGAUAACGUUUCGAAAGGAACGCUAAUACCGCAUACGCCCCACGGGGGAAAGCGGGGGAUCUUCGGACCUCGUGCUAUAGGAGGAGCCUGCGUCGGAUUAGCCAGUUGGUGAGGUAAAGGCUCACCAAGGCGACGAUCCGUAGCUGGUCUGAGAGGAUGAUCAGCCACACCGGAACUGAGACACGGUCCGGACUCCUACGGGAGGCAGCAGUGGGGAAUAUUGCGCAAUGGGCGAAAGCCUGACGCAGCCAUACCGCGUGUGUGAAGAAGGCCUUCGGGUUGUAAAGCACUUUCAGUGGGGAGGAAAAGCUGGUGGCUAAUAUCCAUCGGCCGUGACGCUACCCACAGAAGAAGCACCGGCUAAUUCCGUGCCAGCCGCCGCAGUAACAC
rnacentral:rRNA from 1 species